GAGAGACGCUGGCGGCGUGCCUAACACAUGCAAGUCGAACGGUCCGGCACUCAACCGACCCUCAGUCUAACUGUAGGGGAAGUUGAGUGCCGGGUAGUGGCGGACGGGUGAGUAACGCGUGGGCAACCAACCCUGUACAGUGGGAUAACACCGGGAAACCGGUGCUAAUACCGCAUGACACCUAUAUGGUGCAUACCGUAUAGGUUAAAGGAUUUAACCGGUACAGGACGGGCCCGCGUCCCAUUAGCUAGUUGGUGAGGUAACGGCCCACCAAGGCGACGAUGGGUAGCCGACCUGAGAGGGUGACCGGCCACACUGGGACUGAGACACGGCCCAGACUCCUACGGGAGGCAGCAGUGGGGAAUAUUGCGCAAUGGGGGGAACCCUGACGCAGCGACGCCGCGUGAGCGACGAAGGCCUUCGGGUCGUAAAGCUCUGUUCUUGGGGACGAAGGAAAUGACGGUACCCAAGGAGAAAGCCCCGGCUAACUACGUG
rnacentral:rRNA from 1 species